rnacentral:rRNA from 1 species
AGCAGCCGCGGUAAUUCCAGCUCCAAUAGCGUAUAUUAAAGUUGUUGCAGUUAAGAAGCUCGUAGUCGAAUUUCGAGACCGGUUUAUUGGUCGUGCUUUUGUACGUACUGGUAUUAUUGGUUUCUCCUUUCUGACGAAUCUUAAUGCCAUUAAUUUGGUGUUUUGGGGAAUCAGGACUGUUACUUUGAAAAAAUUAGAGUGUUUAAAGCAGGCUCACGCUUGAAUACAUUAGCAUGGAAUAACGGAAUAGGACGUUUGAUUCUAUUUUGUGGUUUCUAGGAUCGACGUAAUGAUUAAUAGGGAUAGUUGGGGGCAUUAGUAUUCAAUUGUCAGAGGUGAAAUUCUUGGAUUUAUUGAAGCUAACUACUGCGAGAGCAUUUGCCAAGGAUGUUUUCAUUA